rnacentral:rRNA from 1 species
UGGGGAAUAUUGGGCAAUGGGCGCAAGCCUGACCCAGCAAUGCCGCGUGAGUGAUGAAGGCCUUCGGGUUGUAAAGCUCUGUCGGGAGGGACGAAAAAGGCGCGUAACGAGCGCUGUUGACGGUACCUCCAAAGGAAGCACCGGCUAACUCUGUGCCAGCAGCCGCGGUAAUACAGAGGGUGCAAGCGUUGUUCGGAAUUACUGGGCGUAAAGCGCGUGUAGGCGGUCAUGUAAGUCGGUUGUGAAAUCCCUCAGCUUAACUGAGGAAGUGCAACCGAUACUGUGUGACUAGAGUACUGGAGGGGAUGGCGGAAUUCCUGGUGUAGAGGUGAAAUUCGUAGAUAUCAGGAGGAACACCUGUGGCGAAGGCGGCCAUCUGGACAGUAACUGACGCUGAGAC